GAUGAACGCUGGCGGCGUGCCUAAUACAUGCAAGUCGAACGCACAGCGAAAGGUGCUUGCACCUUUCAAGUGAGUGGCGAACGGGUGAGUAACACGUGGAUAACCUACCUCAAGGUUGGGGAUAACAUUUGGAAACAGAUGCUAAUACCGAAUAAAACUUCGUAUCGCAUGAUACAAGGUUAAAAGCGCUACGGCGUCACCUAGAGAUGGAUCCGCGGUGCAUUAGUUAGUUGGUGGGUAAAGGCCUACCAAGACAAUGAUGCAUAGCCGAGUUGAGAGACUGAUCGGCCACAUGGACUGAGACACGGCCCAAACUCC
rnacentral:rRNA from 1 species